rnacentral:rRNA from 1 species
AGUGAACGCUGGCGGUAGGCCUAACACAUGCAAGUCGAACGGCAGCACCGUAAGAGCUUGCUCUUACGGGUGGCGAGUGGCGGACGGGUGCGGAAUACAUCGGAAUCUACUUUUUCGUGGGGGAUAACGUAGGGAAACUUACGCUAAUACCGCAUACGACCUACGGGUGAAAGCAGGGGAUCUUCGGACCUUGCGCGAUUGAAUGAGCCGAUGUCGGAUUAGCUAGUUGGCGGGGUAAAGGCCCACCAAGGCGACGAUCCGUAGCUGGUCUGAGAGGAUGAUCAGCCAGACUGGAACAGAGACACGGUCCAGACUCCGACGGGAGGCAGUAGUGGGGAAUAUUGGACGAUGGGCGCAAGCCUGAUCCAGCAAUACCGCGUGGGUGAAGAAGGCCUUCGGGUUGUAAAGCCCUUUUGUUGGGAAAGAAAAGCAGCAGGUUAAUACCCCGCUGUUCUGACGGUACCCAAAGAAUAAGCACCGGCUAACUUCGUG